GCUUAUCAUAUAGAGUCAGCAGUAACGCACAAGUUGCACCUGUGCCAACAGAAAGCACGCUAUAUAUACUGGCUACAGUACACGGAAUUAUAUCCCAGAAGCAUCAACAUCAGCAGUAGAAACAGCAGAAUGUCGUUCUACGCGGUAUUUAUAUUUCUGGCGCUGUGCGCUUGUGCUGUCAGUGUCGAGUACCCGUAUGGGAGUUAUGGUGGAUACGAUCUGCUUGCUAACGCCCUCGAAAAACUACAACAGCCCCUGCCACUAAAUUCAGCUGCCAAAUAACCUGCUUCAGUGGUACGAUCUCGUACAGCUAAGACAGAUUUCAGCACUGAAUUCAGGACAGAAAUGUAACGAAAGCUCAAAUAAAGUUCUUAGGAAUAUUUA